rnacentral:rRNA from 1 species
CGCGGCCUAUCAGCUUGUUGGUGAGGUAAAAGCUCACCAAGGCGACGACGGGUAGCCGGCCUGAGAGGGUGACCGGCCACACUGGGACUGAGACACGGCCCAGACUCCUACGGGAGGCAGCAGUGGGGAAUAUUGGGCAAUGGAGGAAACUCUGACCCAGCGACGCCGCGUGAGGGAUGAAGGCCUUCGGGUUGUAAACCUCUUUCAGCAGGGAAUAAGCGAAAGUGAAGGUACCUGCAGAAGAAGCACCGGCUAACUAUGUGCCAGCAGCCGCGGUAAUACAUAGGGUGCAAGCGUUGUCCGGAAUUAUUGGGCGUAAAGAGCUCGUAGGUGGUCGAUCACGUCGGAUGUGAAAAUCUGAGGCUUAACCUCAGACCUGCAUUCGAUACGGGUUGACUAGAGUGUGGUAGGGGAGACUGGAAUUCCUGGUGUAGCGGUGGAAUGCGCAGAUAUCAGGAGGAACACCGAUGGCGAAGGCAGGUCUCUGGGCCAUUACUGACACUGAGGAGCGAAAGCGUGGGGAGCGAACAGGAUUAGAUACCCUGGUAGUCCACGCCGUAAACGGUGGGCGCUAGUUGUGGGAACCUUCCACGGUUUCUGCGACGCAGCUAACGCAUUAAGCGCCCCGCCUGGGGAGUACGG